UACGGAGGGUGCAAACGUUGCUCGGAAUCAUUGGGCGUAAAGCGCACGUAGGCGGCCUGAUAAGUCGGGUGUGAAAGCCCUGGGCUCAACCCAGGAAGUGCACUCGAAACUGUCAGGCUUGAAUAUGGAAGAGGGUCGCGGAAUUCCCGGUGUAGAGGUGAAAUUCGUAGAUAUCGGGAGGAACACCAGUGGCGAAGGCGGCGACCUGGGCCAAUAUUGACGCUGAGGUGCGAAAGCGUGGGGAGCAAACGGGAU
rnacentral:rRNA from 1 species